rnacentral:rRNA from 1 species
UACGGGGGAGCAAGCGUUGUUCGGAUUUACUGGCGUAAAGGGCGCGUAGGCGGUCAGCACAAGUCAGUUGUGAAAUCUCCGAGCUUAACUCGGAAAGGUCAACUGAUACUGUGCGACUAGAGUGCAGAAGGGGCAACUGGAAUUCUUGGUGUAGCGGUGAAAUGCGUAGAUAUCAAGAGGAACACCGGUGGCGAAGGCGGCAUCCUGGACCAAUUCUGACGCUGAGUGAAGCGAAAGCCCAGGGGAGCAAACGGG